UGUUGCACUGGAGCUACAAAUUUGUUCAAUAAGGCAAACACAACUCCUAUUAAGAGAAAAGUCUGCCAGUGUCUCAAAGAUGCUUCUGCUAAAUUUGGAGUUAAACCAGACAGGGCUGCACAACUUCCACAACUUUGUCACAUUCAAUUGCCUUUUCCAAUUAGUCCUUCUCCUGAUUGUAGCAAGAUUGAAUGAUUCUACAUUAGGAUUAGAUCGUGAAUAAGACUUGAAGAACUACAUGGAGGAGUUUUUAUUUUGUUAAUCUUUCUAUAAUGGAGAGUUAGAUUAUAUCAAUAAGCCGUCUGAAAAAGUUGAUGUCUUUUAGUGAAAUUUAUAAAUGGAAAAUAAAGUCAUAUUUUUAUUAUCUA